rnacentral:rRNA from 1 species
GACGAACGCUGGCGGCGUGCUUAACACAUGCAAGUCGAACGGAAAGGCCCUGCUUUUGUGGGGUGCUCGAGUGGCGAACGGGUGAGUAACACGUGAGUAUCCUGCCCUUGUCUUUGGGAUAACUUCAGGAAACUGGGGCUAAUACCGGAUAGGAGCUCCUGCUGCAUGGUGGGGGUUGGAAAGUUUCGGCGGUUGGGGAUGGACUCGCGGCUUAUCAGCUUGUUGGUGGGGUAGUGGCUUACCAAGGCUUUGACGGGUAGCCGGCCUGAGAGGGUGACCGGCCUCAUUGGGACUGCGAUACGGCCCAGACUCCGACGGGAGGCAGCAGUGGGGAAUAUUGCACAAUGGGCGGAAGCCUGAUGCAGCAACGCCGCGUGCGGGAUGACGGCCUUCGGGUUGUAAACCGCUUUCGCCUGUGACGAAGCGUGAGUGACGGUAAUGGGUAAAGAAGCACCGGCUAACUACGUG